GAUGAACGCUGGCGGCGUGCCUAACACAUGCAAGUCGAGCGAUUCUCUUCGGAGAAGAGCGGCGGACGGGUGAGUAACGCGUGGGUAACCUGCCCUGUACACACGGAUAACAUACCGAAAGGUAUGCUAAUACGAGAUAAUAUGCUUUUAUCGCAUGGUAGAAGUAUCAAAGCUCCGGCGGUACAGGAUGGACCCGCGUCUGAUUAGCUAGUUGGUAAGGUAACGGCUUACCAAGGCGACGAUCAGUAGCCGACCUGAGAGGGUGAUCGGCCACAUUGGAACUGAAACACGGUCCAAACUCCUACGGGAGGCAGCAGUGGGGAAUAUUGCACAAUGGGCGAAAGCCUGAUGCAGCAACGCCGCGUGAGCGAUGAAGGCCUUCGGGUCGUAAAGCUCUGUCCUCAAGGAAGAUAAUGACGGUGCUUGAGGAGGAAGCCCCGGCUAACUACGUGCCAGCCGCCGCGGUAA
rnacentral:rRNA from 1 species